rnacentral:rRNA from 1 species
AGAGUUUGAUCCUGGCUCAGGACGAACACUGGCGGCGUGCCUAACACAUGCAAGUGGAGCGACGAACCGGGCUUUUAGCCCGGGGCAAAGCCGCGAACGGGUGAGUAACACGUGGGUAACCUGCCCUGAUGACCGGGACAACCCGAGGAAACUCGGGCUAAUACCGGAUGUGCCCUCCGACUGCAAGGUCGACGGGGAAAGGAAGCUUCGGCCUCCGCAUCGGGAUGGGCCCGCGGCCCAUUAGCUUGUUAGUGAGGUAACGGCUCACCAAGGCGACGAUGGGUAGCUGGUCUGAGAGGACGAUCAGCCACACUGGGACUGAGACACGGCCCAGACUCCUACGGGAGGCAGCAGUGGGGAAUCUUGCGCAAUGCGCGAAAGCGUGACGCAGCAACGCCGCGUGGGGGAAGACGGCCUUCGGGUUGUAAACCCCUUUCAGUUGGGACGAAGCUUCGGCGGUGAAUAGCCGUUUGGAGUGACGGUACCUUCAGAAGAAGCCCCGGCUAACUACGUGCCAGCAGCCGCGGUAAUACGUAGGGGGCAAGCGUUGUCCGGAAUCAUUGGGCGUAAAGAGCGUGUAGGCGGCUUGGUAAGUCCGCUGUGAAAGUCCAAGGCUCAACCCUGGAAAGCCGGUGGAAACUGUCAAGCUAGAGUUCGGAAGAGGCGAGUGGAAUUCCUGGUGUAGCGGUGAAAUGCGCAGAUAUCAGGAGGAACACCAAUGGCGAAGGCAGCUCGCUGGGACGGUACUGACGCUGAGACGCGAAAGCGUGGGAGCAAACAGGAUUAGAUACCCUGGUAGUCC